AGCAAGACUGAAGACUGAACUUGUACCUAGGGAGGCACAACUGAAUGAAGUAUAACAGAACACGAGUGCACGAUGACUGAAGUCAGGGCUGAUGACACGCAGGCCUGAGGAGCUAAAGUGAGGCAGACAAAUAGGAGCAUCCACGGUGUACAAGGUACCAAAUCUGAUGCAAAGAUGUAUACAGAUCCAGGACUUCAGCUCUUGGUAAGCUCAGACUCUCAAUAAAAAUUCAUUCAUUCA